AGAUGGUGGAAAGCUGCACUUGAAGUCCAACUCUGACCUGGGGGAAUAAUUAUGUUCCCUCUCUUGGUAGUCUUUCUUCAGGGAGCUUGAUGGUUCCAACCCACCCAGGAGCCUGGGACAUCUGUGCCCCUGGGCAAUCCCCUGCAGUUUCCUGAUUCCAAGAUGAGGGGGCGGAAUCUGAAGAUCUCCAAGGCCUUGAUGAGUGCUACCAGUCUGCAAAUUCCCAAGCCAAGUUCUUCAAUGAAUCAAAUUUCCUCCAGUAGCCAUUUCCACCGAAGGAGCAACUGUUUUUCCUUCCCACUGACAUGGCUAUGUAUUCGAAUCGGAUAUAGGACACUGGGACCUGAAGUCUUCGAGAGUAUGCAAUCACUAAGUCAUCGCAAGGGAGAGCAGGAUGCCUAAAAGAGAGGGAGGCCUAAAUUGGUUAGCCCCUAAGCACACCGACUCUUCAGGCAUGUCAGUUCCAAGGAUCAUGGCCCCAGGAACUAGGCGCAAGUGACAGGAGCCACCUGCCAUGUCCAAACCCAGUGCACACUCAGCCCGGCCUGACCCUUUUUCAAGGAUAGCUGGCACAGACCAUCAUCCUGGCCCACGAUGAUGGAUCUCUCUGUCAUCCAAGCUGGAGUGCAGUGGUGCAGUCACGGCUCACUGCAGCCUCAAACUCCCAUGCUCAAGUGAUCCUCCCACAUCAGCUUCCCGUGUAGCUUGGACUCCAGGUAUGAGAGAACAGAAAUAGAGAUUUGGGUAGCUUUAGCUGUUUAGAGUAAGGUGACCAAACCUCCUUUCUGCCUGUUCCUGCUAUUUGAAACACCACUAUUCUCCACACAAUGAAAAUGCCUUAUUGCUUAAGCCAAAGAUAGCUGAACUUUUGUUUGACAUUUUACACAGUGUCUUAUGCCUGCCUGAAAGAAGGGGUGCAGGUCUUCAUAGAAUGGGGAAAGUCCAGAGACGAUCUGGACUCCAAAGACAACAGCUUGGAUUCUGAGCUGUCACUUACCAGCCAAAAGGGAAUCUUGGCCCGGCCACGGAAGUUCCCUGAGUCUCAACUACCUCGUCUGUAAAAGGGUCUCAUCAGGCCCACAUUAGAUUAUCUAUUCGACCAUCAGUUCAAGAUCUAAGGUAAAGAUGUAGAGCAACUGCAACUUUCAUACACUGCUGCAACCACUUUGGAGACUAUCAGCUUUUUCCACUAAAGCUGAACAUUAUAGUCUAGAAAUUGCACUCCUGAGCAGCUUCUAAGAGAUGGAGGAUGUGGAGCAGUCCUGGGCCUUGUGGUCUGAGGGGAGAAGAAAUCCUGCCCAGGCAGACUGCUAUGAAUGUCCAGG